rnacentral:lncRNA from 1 species
CCCUGUUUUUCUGUAAUGGCCCAGUAUUAAUGCCCAGUUUGUCUGUAUUAAGCCCUGUUUGGAUUUUUGAUAAAGUUAAUAAAACUAAGUUGUAAAAAGUAUAAUACCUUUUUGUAUUUUAUUUAAUUUAGUAACCAGCAACCAACAUUAAAGAACCAUAUAAAGGGAUCACUGUUCAUCCUGUUUUUUAACACAUAUCUCUUUCAACUUAAUAUCUUGGAUAUUUGGUAUAUUAAAGCUUUAUAAUGGUGAAGUACAACUUAUUUUGUUCAAACUAAACUGUCAUUAAAAGAGUAAGACAGUACAUCAAGUUAGCAGCAACACAUACACUUUUGUUCAGUUGGUUAAUAAAUGUAUUAAGAAAUGGGUGUUUUUAUAAUGGCCCUGUUAUAUGUCCUCGGUCAGUAAUAAUGGCCUCGGAUGUCUGUAAUAGCCCUCGGCGUUGCCUCGGGUCAUUACAGACUUCCUCGACCAUUAUUACAGAC